rnacentral:rRNA from 1 species
AUGCGAUGCGCCCCCCCUCCUGCGGCCGGGGCGGCACCGUGGGCCGCGCAGGGUGAGAGAUCCCCGCGCGUCGGCACUGCCUCGUGCGCCUCCGAGCUCGCCCCCCACGCUCACCACGCCGACCGCCGCAGCUUCGCGGCCAUGUGGUUGUUCUGGCGUACCAGGAACCGCUUCUCCAUCGAAGAGCUCCGUGGGAAGAAAGUAAAAUCUUAUCAUAGAUGCUUCAUACAUGUCUUCUUCUUCAAGUAUUUAACAGAUCAGCUACAAAAGAUUCAUGUUGUUUAUGAAGCUAAUAAGGAAUUUGUGGUUGAAGCAUUGCGAUCAAUUGCGGAACUUAUGAUAUAUGGCGACCAGCACGAUCCAUUAUUUUUUGAAUUUUUCAUGGAGAAGCAGAUUAUGGGUGAAUUCGCUCGUAUUUUGAGGAUUUCUAAGCUGUCCAGAGUGUCACUACAGUUGCUGCAGACAAUGAGUAUCAUGAUUCAAAAUUUAAGGAAUGAGCAUUCAAUUUAUUACAUUUUCAGCAACGAGCACAUUAACUUCUUGAUAACUUACUCGUUUGAUUUCCAAAUUGAUGAGAUGCUAUCGUACUACAUAUCCUUUUUACGGGCAAUAAGUGGAAAGUUGAAUAAGAAUACAAUUUCCUUGCUUGUGACGACAAAAAAUGAUGAGGUCAUCUCAUUUCCUCUCUAUGUUGAGGCCUUAAAGUUUGCUUUUCAUGAGGAUAGCAUGAUCCGUGUUGCUAUACGUACCUUGACACUUAAUGUCUAUCAUGUUGGAGAUGAAUCUGUUAACAGAUUUGUUUCGCGUGUGCCACUGUCAGAUUAUUUCUCUGACAUGGUCAAACAUUUUCAGAAGCAAUGCAUCGACUUGGAUAAGUUGGUCGUGCGUUCUGCACGGAAUGCAGAACCUGUGCUAAUGGCCUCCAUUGAAGAUGCAAUUGUGCAAAUUGAAGAUGCCCUGUAUUAUUUCAGUGAUGUUAUGUCUUCUGGCAUCCCUGAUCUAGGAAAUUUUAUCACUGAAAAUAUUCUGCAACUUUUGGUAUUCCGGAUUGUACUCCCAUCAUUGCAAAGGCAGCGCACUGAUUUAUGGAUAAGUGUGAGUACUUCCAUGUAUUUGCUUUGCUGCAUACUUCACAUUUUUAAGGACAAAGAUAUGGCAAGCACUGUUGCUGCUGCUCUUUUCCAUCAGCCUGAUUGCCCUGAUAGGAAACAAGGAACACCUAAUGGUUGUACCUCUGAGCAUGAUCAUGGCAUAUCUGAGAACCAGGUCAGCAACACCUCUGCGGAAGAUCAAUCGAAAGCAGACAAGCCAACGUCUUCGUCUUCUGCACAUUUGCAGUGUUUGCCUGAUCAUCCAUCAGCAAGUGAUUUCUGCCAAGGCAACACACUGAGGGAACACUUGCUAUCAUAUAUCACAGGUGGGGAUGGUUCCCAAGCUUUGGGUUCUUUGUGCUUAUUUGCUACAUUAUUGCAGACAAAAGAACUUGAUGAAUCAAUGUUAGAUGCACUUGGAAUUUUGCCUCAAAGAAAGCAGCAUAAGAAGCUUCUAUUACAAGCUUUGGUUGGUGAAGAUACAGCUGAAAGGCAGCUAUUUUCAUCAAGUAGUGGUGUUGCAGAUGAUAGCAUCUGCAGUGAUUUUGAUAUUUAUAUAAGGAAGCUUCAGAGUAAUUAUGGGUUACAGUGUCAUCAUCCACGUCAAUUGACUUCUAAAGUUCACAGAUAUCAGGUGCUCGAUGCAUUAGUCACCCUUUUCAGCAGGGCUAAUAUACCAGCAGAUGUUCGCGUAGUUGGUGGCUGGCUUUUUAGGCAACUGCUGCCCCAUGGAGAGGACGAGUUUACUGCUUUUCAUCUAAAAUUACUAAAGGAUUCACACAAGGAUUGCAGUGAAAAGCUGCUGGAAGAAUCUGGAGGAUGCUGGUGUGACUUGCUUCUUCCUAUCGUUAGAGAAGCUUGGAAAAAUUGCAAGAAAGCAAUUGAGGCAUCUUCACCACCCAAAGGAUCCAAGUCUAUUAUUUCACCUUUGGAGCCGUCUUUAUUUGGAGGUGAUUCUUCUAUCGCUAUCGCGGAGAGAAUCUAUGAGAUGGUUAAGGGUUUUGUGCUACAGCAUCAAGUUAUACUCUUCUGCCUUGGAGAAACUUUCACUGAUCAGCUGCCUAUUUACUCUCCAGUCGAUCUGCCUGUAAAUAAGCGAGCAACUGCAGCAGGCUUCGAUGGUUCAGUGCCCAAGCCUGGGCUUGAAGUCAACUUAGUUGAUGCAAUUCCUUGCCGGAUAGCAUUUGAAAGGGGCAAAGAACGUCACUUCAGCUUUUUAGCUCUAUCUAAUGGAACUUCUGGGUGGAUUCUCCUUUUAGAAGAAUUACCACAACAACGUGGAAUUGUUCGUGUCACUGCCCCCUUGGCUGGAUCUGAUCCAAGAAUAGAUGAAAAGCAUGUGAAGUGGUUGCAUUUAAAUAUUCGUCCUUCAACUGUUCCUUUUCUUGAUCCGGAAAAAUUCAAAGGCAAGACAAAGAAGUAUCUUGUUGAUGGGAGAUGGACCCUUGCCUUCAGAGAUGAGCAAUCUUGCAAGGCAGCAGAGGCCAUGGUUAUUGAAGAGAUGAAGCUCCAGCAAGAUGCCGUCAGGGAACAGUUGAAGGAAUUGCUUGAACUUAACAUGCCUGAGAAUGGAUUGCAGCAUCCUCAGCUUUCCCAGGAAACCUCUUCUGAUGACGGUUCAUGA